AGAGUUUGAUCCUGGCUCAGGACGAACGCUGGCGGCGUGCUUAACACAUGCAAGUCGAACGGAAAGGCCCUUCGGGGUACUCGAGUGGCGAACGGGUGAGUAACACGUGGGUGAUCUGCCCUGCACUUUGGGAUAAGCCUGGGAAACUGGGUCUAAUACCGAAUAUGACCAUGCGCCUCCUGGUGUGUGGUGGAAAGCUUUUGCGGUGUGGGAUGGGCCCGCGGCCUAUCAGCUUGUUGGUGGGGUAAUGGCCUACCAAGGCGACGACGGGUAGCCGGCCUGAGAGGGUGACCGGCCACACUGGGACUGAGAUACGGCCCAGACUCCUACGGGAGGCAGCAGUGGGGAAUAUUGCACAAUGGGCGCAAGCCUGAUGCAGCGACGCCGCGUGAGGGAUGACGGCCUUCGGGUUGUAAACCUCUUUCAGCACAGACGAAGCGCAAGUGACGGUAUGUGCAGAAGAAGGACCGGCCAACUACGUGCCAGCAGCUGCGGUAAUACGUAGGGUCCGAGCGUUGUCCGGAAUUACUGGGCGUAAAGAGCUCGUAGGUGGUUUGUCGCGUUGUUCGUGAAAACUCACAGCUUAACUGUGGGCGUGCGGGCGAUACGGGCAGACUUGAGUACUGCAGGGGAGACUGGAAUUCCUGGUGUAGCGGUGGAAUGCGCAGAUAUCAGGAGGAACACCGGUGGCGAAGGCGGGUCUCUGGGCAGUAACUGACGCUGAGGAGCGAAAGCGUGGGGAGCGAACAGGAUUAGAUACCCUGGUAGUCCAA
rnacentral:rRNA from 1 species